GCUGUGGCUGUGGCGUAGGCUGUAGCAGCCGCUUCCAUUCGGGGCCCGGGAACUUGCAUCUGGCAGAGGUGCGGCCAUUAAAAAGAAAAGAUAUUGUCAAAGAUGCAUUUAAUACACCUGACCUACUGAACCUCAGAGCUUAGCCGAGCCUACCUUAUAGGUGCUCCGUAUACUUACAUUAGCCUACAGCGGGGCAGAAUCAUCUAACACGAAGCGUAUUUUAUAAUAAAGUGGUCGAUAUUGCGUAUAAGUCAUGAAAGACGGUACUGCAAGGGAAAAACAGAAUGGCUUGAUGGUGCAGAAUGGCUGUGAGUGUUUCUGCUGUUUAGCCUCGUGAUUGCCCGGCUGACUGGGAGCUGCAGCUCACUGCCACGGCCCAGCAGGGGAUCACACGUGGGUUGUACCUCGCUAGCCUAGGAAAAGAUCAAAAUUCACAAUUCAAAGUACAAUUUCUAGGAGUUCCCGUUGUGGCUCAGUGGUUAAUGAAUCCAAUGAGGAAUGAUGAGGUUGUGGGUUCGAUCCCUGGUCUUGCUCAGUGGGUUGGGGAUCUGGCGUUGCUGGGAGCUGCGGUGCAGGUUGCAGAUGCUGUGGCUGGGGCCUAGGCUGGCAGCUACAGCUCCGAUUAGACCCCUAGCCUGGGAACCUCCAUAGGCUGCAGGUGUGGCCCUANAAAAAAAAAAAAAAAAAAAAAAAAAAAAAAAAAAGGUACAAUUUCUACUGAAUGUGUAUCUCAUCAUAGCGAAGUCAAACUGUCUCAAAUCAAACCAUCGUGAGUUGGAACUGUCCGUGAGUGCUGUUGAUGUGGGCGUUUUCCUGCUUGGUCCAGCCAAGGAGAGGGGACUGUGAUGGGAACUACCCAGACACCUCUCUCUCUUUUCCUUUGGUACCAAGGGGAUGGACAGUCAAGCUGGGCAAUUCACCUUGGGAACUGGUGGUAGGGUGGGGAGUGCUCAGCGAAUGGGAACAUUGGGCAGUGGCCCCGGGCCAGCCUCUAAAGGCCCCAACCCCAGUUUAUAAGGAGCCAAGCCCUGGGCUGCAGUGACCCUGCCCCUAAUCAGAUCUCACUGCCCUGGACAAGUUUGGAUCUCAACAUCUUCAUCUGCAAAAUGGGGAUAAGAACCCUAGUGAGCGAGUCCAUAGAGGCCGUGGUUCCACACAGCGUGCCCUUUGUCCUUGAGGGACAUGCCUGCCUCCAGUGACCUGCGCAGUGACUCAGAACCCAGGGACUGCAGAAAACCACCUCCCAGUGUAGGAGCAGGGAGAGAAAGAGAACAUGUGUGUGACCGUUCUGGGCCACGGCAGGGCUGGCCCAGGCCAUCCUUGAAGCUGUCUCCAUACUAGAGUCAAGGCAGAGAGUGAGGCUCAGAAGACAGGCAAGAGGAGAGCCAGCCUGGCUGCCUCUGGAACCGGGGGUGAGGGGGUGGGUGGAAGCCCGCCUCCCCCUACCUCCCCUCUCUGCCUGGCAGACUCAGGCCACCCGGUCCCCAGCCAGAUGCUGGGUCAAGCAGUCCGGGGUGAAUGGGGAGAUGGGACACAGAGGCUGCAUUUUACUCUAACAAACCACUGCUGAGUGGCCUGCCUUGCCCCAGCACUGUGCCGGGUCCGGGGUGUACCUCAGCCAGGCUCCAGAGGGUGCCCAGCCAGGUUCGGGAUUCCUGGGCCCCUGAGUCUCCCCACAGGCACCUGCAUGCCAGGUUCUAAGUGGGGCUUUCCUGCCUCGGAUCUCCUGUAACUAACCCUGGGCUUCCCAUGUGGCCAGGGAGGGGCAGAGCACGUCCCCCGCCCUGGCGCUGUUUGCCACCCUCACCGCACACUUGGCAGGGCGCUGAGCCAGGCCCAGCUCUUUUAUCUGCCUGGCCUUUCUUCCUACGAGCCUGAUUUCUGAUGUGGUCCCAUCUUCAAGUGGCUCACAAGACAGUCAGGGAGCAGCGACCUGGGAAAAGGAUGGGCUCAGCUUUUAGAACGCCUCUCCUUGUUUUCCCUGCGUAGAAGGGAGCCGCUGAGGGUGCUCGAGCUGGUGAGGGGCACACUCCGAGCAGUGGGCAGGACCCAGGACGGGAUGGACAGGAGAGACUCGGGGGAAAGACCAGUUCCGUCACAGCAGGGCCUUGCGUCAUCGGCAGAGUCCCGAGCAGGCUUCUUUUUCCUGAGGGAGGCUGUUCAGAGGUGACAGAGGCCCUGUACAGUGGGAAUGAGGAAACUGGGAGGGUCCACCUGCUGCUGGCUGGCCCCUUGGGCCUUUGGAUGCUUGAGAGUCUGGGGAUGUGUGAUCUUCUUUCUAGACCAGUGGGGUAAGAAAACUGGCGAGAUUAGGGUUGCACUGAAAAAAGGUGCUACUCCCCCCUACCCCCCCCACACACACACCCCGCCUCCUCUACCAUGUGCUUCCACCCCACCCGGGCUACCAGGGGGGAUUGCCCCUCCCACCCAGCUCCUCAGAGAGACAGCAGACACUGGUGGCUGGGCACUCGCCCUCUAGGAUGGAGCUCCUUUUCCAGACGGCCUGUGUCCUGUGUGGGAUGGAUGGCCAUUCUCAUGUCAUCAUCUUCCAUACUGAAGCCCUCUUCCGGCCAGAGUUUUGGGGUCUGGGCUCCUGAUUGGGAAAGACGGAGGUGUCUCAUUGGGGUGGGUAUUCAGGAGCUCAGUUUGGGACUUGUUGGCUUUGCAUUGCUUAUGAGACCCUAAGUGGGGAUGACCAGAAAAACUGCAGAGAGGGGGGCGGGGUCUGUCGGUGACUGCCGGGAGUGCCCCUCCUAGUAGACAGCCUCUCUGUGUUGAAUGCCUCUACUGAUGGGGAGCUCAUCACUUCUAGAGACAACCUACUUGUUCUCCGACAGCUAACAUGAAGCCAAAAAUCUCUCACGGUCGAUUCACCUUGUUGGAGGAGAGGACGGGGCAGAAGGGGAAGGAGGGGAGGGCCUUUGCAGAGCUGCAAAGUUGACCACCCAAAGGUGGUUCCAGUAUUCGGAGAUAUUUGAUGCCCAGGAGUCUCUCUCCCUCUGAGUCAACCCCUCAUUUCCUAGUCAUGGUCUGCACUGCCCUACCACUCUGACCAGGGCAUAGCUGUGACUGUAACCAGGAUCUGGGGUCUCAGACCUGCACGGACUUACUUGAUGCCACGAGUAAGACGCGCUAAGGUCUGGGAUUUGUGGCUGGGUGUGGGGAGGGGCAGGGGGGUGGAUGAGGGUGGUGGGAAUCCACAGACCUCUCUCUCCUUAGCUCGUAGAUGAACAGUGACAUCCAAUUCUUCUUCUUCUUUUUUUCUUUCUUUCUUUUUUGAAUGAUGAGGUUGUGGGUUCGAUCCAUAUGGAGGUUCCCAGACUAGGAGUCAAAUCGGAGCUGUUGCUGCCAGCCUACACCACAGCCACAGCAACGCGACCUACACCACAGCUCACGGCAACGCUGGAUCCUUAGCCCACUGAGCGAGGCCAGGGAUCCACCCUGUGUCCUCAUGGAUGCUACCAGUCAGAUUCGUUUCCUCUGCGCCACGGCGGGAACUCGGCCAACAUCCAUUUCUUAAGCAAGAGGAAGAAAAGCAUCUGGAGCCAGUCUGCCCUGGCGGGUGGCACCAUGCCCUAGCUUGGCAUCCUUGACAAGUUGACUGUGCCUCAGUUUCCUCCUCGUAACACAGGAGUCCAUCACCCCUCCUUCCUGGGGUUACUGCGAGGGUACAAUGAGCUUGCGUGUGUCAAACGCUUACAGCAGCGCGUGGCACGUGCGUUGGGGCCCUAGACCCGAGCAGACAAGAGCUGCUGUGGUUGUUCAGCUUUUGCCUGGCACCGUCCCUCCAAUUUCUCGUUCUUUCUCGGUUCCUGUGGCCCUGCAGGUGUAGGGGGCCACCCACUUGAGGACAGCCCUGCCCACUCACGCCCAGGUAGACCGGCCAGGCUGCAUAGCUGGAGUUACUCAGCUCGGCACCCCCGGGGCUGGGAAGGGACCAGGAGAGGGCAGAGGCAGACGCUGGGGCCUGGGGACGCCUGGGUGGACUGCCCGGGCCUGCUUUCUUCCCUCUGCUCAGGCCUGGCCCUGUGGGGGUGUGUCUCUCACCCACCCCCGCACUCAGGGAGGGGGCAUAUUGGGGGCCUUGGAACAUAGGAUCACCCAGACUUUAAAGUUAAGCUUUUUGGAGGUCACAGGCCACCAAAGUGACUGAGGGCAACCUUUGGAUCCUAAAUCUGGCUGGGAGGAGGGGGUGGGAUCCGAGCCGGGGGGGCUUAUCUCUUGGGCUGAGACCUGUGGUCCACGAUCCCCAGGAAAUCCAUGAGCAGAGCUGUGUUCCAAUGUUAUUAAUUCUUUUUGUAGCCCCAGGGAGUUAAAUAAUUUUAUCCCCCUACCCAACUUUAUUGAGAUAUAAGUGGCAAACGAGUCCCAUGUAUUAUUUUUUUAAUUGAAAUAUAAUUGAUAUGUAACAUUGUGUUAGUCUCAGGUGUACGGCAUAAUGAUUUGAUAUCUGUGUAUAUUAUGGACUGAUCACCGCAGUAAGUCUGGCUAACAUCUGUCAGGAUACACAGCUACAAUUUUUUUUCUUGUGUAUUUUUAUCUUGUGCGUUGAAGAGGGAAUAAGCCACAGGUUUACCAGACUGCACAAGGGGUCUGCCUACAAGCUAAUAAAUAGCCCUGAUCUCCUGCCCCUCCCUCAGCCAUGCAGGGCCAAGUCCUCCAGAUGGACCCCAGGCUUGCCAGGGUGGGCCCAGAGACCCCGGCCCUGGGCCAGUUUUCAGACACCCGCCUAAUUCAAAUCACCAGUGAGUCCAGCCUGUGUUUGAGGGUCCCUGGGAGCAGCCUGUGAAGGUGAGGAAGUGAGUGUGUGGGGGGUCCUGCUAUCCACUGGGCUCAGGUCAUAAUCCCCUCCUAGCAGCCUGUCUGGGGAACUAAAUGACAUCGUGGAGAUCAAGCCCCCGGCCCGGGAGGCAAUGGUCUCUGGGGAGGGGGGGGGGAGCCCGAGCCACCGAGCCCUCAGAAAGCACAGACAUAGGGUGAGCCCCCACCCAACCCCGGCCCUUUCUGUCCUGUCUCAGGGCCCAGGAGUUCAAGUCCACUCUAACCUUCUCUAAAGCAGCUCAAGUCAUGAGAAGAGGGCGUAGCGGGGUGGGCUAUGCUGCCCUUAAAGCAGCUACCAGCCCUGAAGACUCGCCUUAUUUGGCCUGGAUGAAAACUCUACUUGCUCCGUAUGGCUCAUCUCAAGCAGGCAUGGGGAGAAGCAAAUCGGUUUUGCUCACCUUUAUUGAGGGGCAAGUGGCUGAUAGCUUGGAACCUUCCGGAGCUAUAGGUGGUUUAAAAGAGGAUGCCUAGGAGUUCCCCUGUGGCUCAGCAGUUUAAGGAUCUGGCGUUGUCCCUGAUGUGGUGUGUGUUCAAUCCCUGGCCCAGGAACUUCUGAAUGCUGUGGGUGUGGCCAAAAAAACCUACAUAGGAGUUCCCACUGUGGCUCAGCAGGUUAAGAACCCGACUAGUAUCCAGGAGGAUGCAGGUUCCAUCCCUGGCCUCGCUCAGUGGAUUAAAGAUCUGGCCUUGCUGCAAGCCAUGGUGUAGGCUGGCAGUUGCAGCUCCCAUUAGACCCCUAGCCUGGGAACCUCCACAUGCUGCGAGUUUGGCCCUAAAAGGACAAAAAAACUCUCACAAAAAUAAAAUAGGAUGUCUGUUGGAGUUCCCAGUGGGUUAAGAAUCCAACUACAGUGGCUUGGGUCACUGUGGAGGUGUGGGUUUGAUCCCCAGCGCAAGCGUGGUGGGUUAAAGGAUCCAGUGUUGCCACAGCUGCGGCGUAGGUUGCAACUGAAGCUCAGAUUCAAUCCUUGGCUGGGGAACUUCCUUAUGUCUCAUGUGCGGCCAUAAAGAAAAAAAAAGUGGGAGUUCCCUUUGUGGCUCAGUGGUUAUUGAACCCGACUAGGAUCCAUGAGGAUGCGGGUUUGAUCCCUGGCCUCACUCAGUGGGUUAAGGAUCCAGCAUUGCCAUGAGCUGUGGUGUAGGUCGCAGGUGUGGCUUGGAUCUGGUGUUGUUGCUGUGGUGUAGGCUGGCAGCUGUAGUUCUGAUUGGACCCCUAGCCUGGGAACUUCCACAUGCCACAGGUGCGGCUCUUAAAAAAAAAAAAAAAAAAAAAAA
rnacentral:lncRNA from 1 species